rnacentral:rRNA from 1 species
UACAGAGGUCCCAAGCGUUGUUCGGAUUCACUGGGCGUAAAGGGUGCGUAGGCGGGUCUUUAAGUCAGGGGUGAAAUCCUGGAGCUCAACUCCAGAACUGCCUUUGAUACUGAAGAUCUUGAGUUCGGGAGAGGUGAGUGGAACUGCGAGUGUAGAGGUGAAAUUCGUAGAUAUUCGCAAGAACACCAGUGGCGAAGGCGGCUCACUGGCCCGAUACUGGCGCUGAGGCACGAAAGCGUGGGGAGCAAACAGG